GGGUUGUGAGGUUAAGCGACUAAGCGUACACGGUGGAUGCCCUGGCAGUCAGAGGCGAUGAAGGACGUGCUAAUCUGCGAAAAGCGUCGGUAAGGUGAUAUGAACCGUUAUAACCGGCGAUGUCCGAAUGGGGAAACCCAGUGCAAUUCGUUGCACUAUCGUUAACUGAAUACAUAGGUUAACGAGGCGAACCGGGGGAACUGAAACAUCUAAGUACCCCGAGGAAAAAAAAUCAACCGAGAUUCCCCCAGUAGCGGCGAGCGAACGGGGAGCAGCCCAGAGUCUGAAUCAGCUUGUGUGUUAGUGGAACGGUCUGGAAAGUCCGACGGUACAGGGUGAUAGUCCCGUACACCAAAAUGCACAGGCUGUGAACUCGAAGAGUAGGGCGGGACACGUGGUAUCCUGUCUGAAUAUGGGGGGACCAUCCUCCAAGGCUAAAUACUCCUGACUGACCGAUAGUGAACCAGUACCGUGAGGGAAAGGCGAAAAGAACCCCGGCGAGGGGAGUGAAAAAGAACCUGAAACCGUGUACGUACAAGCAGUGGGAGCACCUUCGGGUGUGACUGCGUACCUUUUGUAUAAUGGGUCAGCGACUUAUAUUCUGUAGCAAGGUUAACCGUAUAGGGGAGCCGCAGGGAAACCGAGUCUUAACUGGGCGUUAAGUUGCAGGGUAUAGACCCGAAACCCGGUGAUCUAGCCAUGGGCAGGUUGAAGGUUGGGUAACACUAACUGGAGGACCGAACCGACUAAUGUUGAAAAAUUAGCGGAUGACUUGUGGCUGGGGGUGAAAGGCCAAUCAAACCGGGAGAUAGCUGGUUCUCCCCGAAAGCUAUUUAGGUAGCGCCUCGUGAAUUCAUCUUCGGGGGUAGAGCACUGUUUCGGCUAGGGGGUCAUCCCGACUUACCAACCCGAUGCAAACUACGAAUACCGAAGAAUGUUAUCACGGGAGACACACGGCGGGUGCUAACGUCCGUCGUGAAGAGGGAAACAACCCAGACCGCCAGCUAAGGUCCCAAAGUCAUGGUUAAGUGGGAAACGAUGUGGGAAGGCACAGACAGCCAGGAUGUUGGCUUAGAAGCAGCCAUCAUUUAAAGAAAGCGUAAUAGCUCACUGGUCGAGUCGGCCUGCGCGGAAGAUGUAACGGGGCUAAACCAUGCACCGAAGCUGCGGCAGCGACACUAUGUGUUGUUGGGUAGGGGAGCGUUCUGUAAGCCUGCGAAGGUGACCUGUGAGGGUUGCUGGAGGUAUCAGAAGUGCGAAUGCUGACAUAAGUAACGAUAAAGCGGGUGAAAAGCCCGCUCGCCGGAAGACCAAGGGUUCCUGUCCAACGUUAAUCGGGGCAGGGUGAGUCGACCCCUAAGGCGAGGCCGAAAGGCGUAGUCGAUGGGAAACAGGUUAAUAUUCCUGUACUUGGUGUUACUGCGAAGGGGGGACGGAGAAGGCUAUGUUAGCCGGGCGACGGUUGUCCCGGUUUAAGCAUGUAGGCUGGUUAUCCAGGCAAAUCCGGAUAAUCAAGGCUGAGGUGUGAUGACGAGGCACUACGGUGCUGAAGUAACAAAUGCCCUGCUUCCAGGAAAAGCCUCUAAGCAUCAGGUAACAUCAAAUCGUACCCCAAACCGACACAGGUGGUCAGGUAGAGAAUACCAAGGCGCUUGAGAGAACUCGGGUGAAGGAACUAGGCAAAAUGGUGCCGUAACUUCGGGAGAAGGCACGCUGGUGUGUAGGUGAAGUCCCUGCGGAUGGAGCUGAGACCAGUCGAAGAUACCAGCUGGCUGCAACUGUUUAUUAAAAACACAGCACUGUGCAAACACGAAAGUGGACGUAUACGGUGUGACGCCUGCCCGGUGCCGGAAGGUUAAUUGAUGGGGUUAUCCGUAAGGAGAAGCUCUUGAUCGAAGCCCCGGUAAACGGCGGCCGUAACUAUAACGGUCCUAAGGUAGCGAAAUUCCUUGUCGGGUAAGUUCCGACCUGCACGAAUGGCGUAAUGAUGGCCAGGCUGUCUCCACCCGAGACUCAGUGAAAUUGAACUCGCUGUGAAGAUGCAGUGUACCCGCGGCAAGACGGAAAGACCCCGUGAACCUUUACUAUAGCUUGACACUGAACAUUGAGCCUUGAUGUGUAGGAUAGGUGGGAGGCUUUGAAGCGUGGACGCCAGUCUGCGUGGAGCCAACCUUGAAAUACCACCCUUUAAUGUUUGAUGUUCUAACGUUGGCCCCUUACCGGGGUUGCGGACAGUGUCUGGUGGGUAGUUUGACUGGGGCGGUCUCCUCCCAAAGCGUAACGGAGGAGCACGAAGGUUAGCUAAUCCUGGUCGGACAUCAGGAGGUUAGUGCAAUGGCAUAAGCUAGCUUGACUGCGAGCGUGACGGCGCGAGCAGGUGCGAAAGCAGGUCAUAGUGAUCCGGUGGUUCUGAAUGGAAGGGCCAUCGCUCAACGGAUAAAAGGUACUCCGGGGAUAACAGGCUGAUACCGCCCAAGAGUUCAUAUCGACGGCGGUGUUUGGCACCUCGAUGUCGGCUCAUCACAUCCUGGGGCUGAAGUAGGUCCCAAGGGUAUGGCUGUUCGCCAUUUAAAGUGGUACGCGAGCUGGGUUUAGAACGUCGUGAGACAGUUCGGUCCCUAUCUGCCGUGGGCGCUGGAGAAUUGAGGGGGGCUGCUCCUAGUACGAGAGGACCGGAGUGGACGCAUCACUGGUGUUCGGGUUGUCAUGCCAAUGGCACUGCCCGGUAGCUAAAUGCGGAAGAGAUAAGUGCUGAAAGCAUCUAAGCACGAAACUUGCCCCGAGAUGAGUUCUCCCUGAGACUUUAAGUCUCCUGAAGGAACGUUAAAGACGAUGACGUUGAUAGGCCGGGUGUGUAAGCGCAGCGAUGCGUUGAGCUAACCGGUACUAAUGAACCGUGAGGCUUAACCUUACAACGCCGAAG
rnacentral:rRNA from 1 species